rnacentral:rRNA from 1 species
AACGAACGCUGGCGGCAUGCCUAACACAUGCGAGUCGAACGAGACCUUCGGGUCUAGUGGCGCACGGGUGCGUAACGCGUGGGAACCUGCCCUUAGGUUCGGAAUAACUCCCCGAAAGGGGUGCUAAUACCGGAUAAUGUCUUCGGACCAAAGAUUUAUCGCCUUUGGAUGGGCCCGCGUUGGAUUAGCUAGUUGGUAGGGUAAAAGCCUACCAAGGCGACGAUCCAUAGCUGGUCUGAGAGGAUGAUCAGCCACACUGGGACUGAGACACGGCCCAGACUCCUACGGGGGGCAGCAGUGGGGAAUAUUGGACAAUGGGCGAAAGCCUGAUCCAGCAAUGCCGCGUGAGUGAUGAAGGCCUUAGGGUUGUAAAGCUCUUUUACCCGGGAUGAUAAUGACAGUACCGGGAGAAUAAGCUCCGGCUAACUCCGUG